AUAAAUUAGUAUAAAUGCUUCUCUUUUAUACAGUGCCAUGGGGAUCUUAUUUCAACUAUCUUUCUGAAUGGAACAAAUACAUUGACAAUGAAAAUGUUAUGCCUAUAGGUUUUGAAGAUGUAAAAGAGAAUACAUAUUUAAGAGUGAAAAAAUAGCUGAAUUUUUGAGUUCCCUUUGAAUGAAGAAGAAAUUCAUGCUGUUGUGCAGAGGAGUAGCUUUCAAUCUAUGAAGAAGAACUCCAAGGAGACCCAUGGAGCAUUUGGGGAUGUUCUCUUCCAUAAAGGUGGUGUUAGCGACUGGAGGAAUCUUUUUGCGGAAAAGCAUAAUUUGGAAAUGGACAAAAUGUACAAGGAACACUUAGGAGGAAUCCCUCUUGGAAAAAGGUUAAAAUAUAAUGUGUGUUGCAAAGCCUGAAGGA